rnacentral:rRNA from 1 species
AUUGAACGCUGGCGGCAUGCCUUACACAUGCAAGUCGAACGGUAACAGGUCUUCGGAUGCUGACGAGUGGCGAACGGGUGAGUAACACAUCGGAACGUGCCUAGUAGUGGGGGAUAACUACUCGAAAGAGUGGCUAAUACCGCAUGAGAUCUACGGAUGAAAGCAGGGGAUCGCAAGACCUUGUGCUACUAGAGCGGCCGAUGGCAGAUUAGGUAGUUGGUGGGAUAAAAGCUUACCAAGCCGACGAUCUGUAGCUGGUCUGAGAGGACGAUCAGCCACACUGGGACUGAGACACGGCCCAGACUCCUACGGGAGGCAGCAGUGGGGAAUUUUGGACAAUGGGCGCAAGCCUGAUCCAGCAAUGCCGCGUGCAGGAUGAAGGCCUUCGGGUUGUAAACUGCUUUUGUACGGAACGAAAAGCCCUGGGUUAACACCCUGGGGUCAUGACGGUACCGUAAGAAUAAGCACCGGCUAACUACGUGCCAGCAGCCGCCGUAAUAC